rnacentral:tRNA from 1 species
GUCCCCUUAGCUUAGCUGGACAAAGCGUGCGGCUACGAACCGCAAGACCGGGAGUUCGAAUCUCUCAGGGGAUACCA